AUGGCUUUGGUUCACAAAUUGCUGCAUGGCACUUAUAUUCUCAGAAAAUGCUCUAAGACAACUGCUACCUUGCAUUCAUUUUUGGGUAUUCACUUUGCACACCACUCCAGUAGUCUUCAGAAACUAGUGGCUUCUCCUGGCAAAGCCUCCUCACAGAGGAAUACUGAAGGGGGUUGCCAAGGACAUCACCAGAAAGAAGUUGCUUUGGAUAUAACUUCUCCUGAGGAGAAACCUGAAGUUAGUUUCAAUAAAGCAAUUAGAGAUGAAAUAAAGGACCAUUUUAGGCAUUUGAAGGAUGAAAUUGUGGAUCAUUGGAUAGGACCCGAAGGCCGCCCUCUGCAUGAGGUCUUGCUGGAACAAGCCAAGGUUGUCUGACAGUUCUGGGGGAAAGAAGACUUGGAUAAGUAGAUAGUGACUUCUGAAAAGACGAUUGGAGGCAGAAGUGAAGUAUUUUUGAAAAUGGGCAAGAAUAACCAAAGUGCACUGCUAUAUGGAACUCUGAGCUCUGAGGUGCCUCAGGAUGGGGAGACUACCUGAAGUGGGUACUGUGCAAUGAUAUCCAGGAUUCCAGGGGGUGCUUUUGAGAGGAAGAUGUCUUAGGAAAAUGUCUUAUGAUUGGUCCCAGUUCAGUACUCUGUAUCUCCGUGUAUGUGGGGAUGGUUGGCCUUGGAUGAUGAAUAUCAGGGAGGACACAGAUAUAAUCCAGAGGAAAAACAGAUGUAUAGUUACUUCAUGUUCACCCGUGGGGACUCCUACUGGCAGGAGGUCAAGAUCCCUUUUUCCAAAUUUUUUUCCCUAAUCAAGGAAGAGUGCAGGAUGUUCAGAGUCAGCUUCUGCUUGACAAGAUCUCUUCUAUAGCAUUCACCUUGGCUGAUAAAGUGGGUGGUCCAUUCUUCCUGGAGAUAGAUUUUAUUGGAGUGCUUACUGUUCCAGCCCACACAGAAUUUGCCUAUGAAAAUUCUCCAGAGCUUAACCCAAGAAUUUAAAA
rnacentral:lncRNA from 1 species